UCCCUGGUGAUCCAGUGGUUAGGAUUCUGUGCUUCCAAUGCAGGGGGCUCAGGUUCGAUCCCUGGUCAGGGAA
rnacentral:tRNA from 1 species